rnacentral:rRNA from 1 species
AUUGAACGCUGGCGGCAGGCCUAACACAUGCAAGUCGAACGAGUGGGGACGGGUGAGUAACACGUGGGUAACCUCCCCAUCAGAGGGGAUAACACUGGAAAACAGGUGCUAAACCGCUAUUGAUGGAUGGACCCGCGGUGCAUUAGCGAGUUGGUGGGGUAACGGCUCACCAAGGCCACGCUGCAUAGCCGACCUGAGAGGGUGAUCGGCCACACUGGGACUGAGACACGGCCCAGACUCCUACGGGAGGCAGCAGUAGGGAAUCUUCGGCAAUGGACGAAAGUCUGACCGAGCAACGCCGCGUGAGUGAAGAAGGUUUUCGGAUCGUAAAACUCUGUUGUUAGAGAAGCGGUAUCUAACCAGAAAGCCACGGCUAACUACGUGCCAGCAGCCGCGGUAAUAC